UGGAUCACAUUUAUAGCAGUUGACAUUGCAGAAAAAGGAUGUUGGGUCUCUUCUUGAGUUCAGAAAGCUCCUUUUGGUUGGUGAGCAGGACAAAGUGGAUCCUUCAGAGUUCCCAUCCGUGUUUGUGUCUCAGCCUGUGUUAGGAUUCAGGGCUGUAGCUGUUGUUGUCACUGAGGAGUCAAACUCUGCUUUAAAUCAUGAGACACUGGCCUGAUGGCCAAGUGUCAAGAAUAAAGGGGGAAUGAUAUCUGAGUGUUGAGAUGUAACAAGGGCUGAUCCUUUUUGCAGUGGGAUGUAGCCUGGAAAGUGCACAGAGCUGAGCCAAGGGAUUGAAAGGGACCAAGCAAGGGAGGUGAAGAAAGAAGGAAGAAGGAAGUGAGGCAGCAGGCAAGCAGCAGCAAGUUGCUGUGUAAGCAGUGGGAUGUACCCUAGAAACUCCAUGGAGCUGAGCCAAGGGAUUUAGAGGGACUAAGCAAGCGAAGUAAAGAAAGAAUGAAGAAGGGAACUGAGAGAGCAGCCAAGCAGCACCAAGUUCCUCUACAACCAGGAGAAAAUGGGGAAAGCAGAAAGGAAGAAAAGCAGCCCCCUGACUCCUCCCUGAGCCCCAGACAGCCCAUGAACUGCCUUGCUGGGAAUGGUAGGACGGGGUGGACUCUGGAUUGCUCCCUCUGGAUGUGUGGUAAGACUGUUCUGCCAACUUUUCCAACAGCCUGUAAGCAUUUGCUGCCUUGGCUAGAUGGUGCAAGGGCAGCCUUUAAGCAGCUGAAGCAUUCCCUGAGGAGAGCUCUGGGUCUGCCAUAUGUCUCAGAACUGUUGGAAGCAUCUUUGGUGGGGAGGGCAAACAAAGGCCAAGGUGUGCAGUGACCCCCCUGAGAAGGGACUUUGAGUUAAUGGCAUCCCUGCAAGUGAACUUUGUGGGCUGUUCCCUCUGUAGGGCAGGUGACAGUCCCAGCUACAGUGAUGGGGAAAAAUGGUUAAAAGGGAGCCCCAAAAGCUGGAAAUUGCCCUGGAGGCUCUUGGCCAACAGAGUUUCCUGAGUUCCCCCUGCAAGAAGGACAGUGAUAGCUUUUGAGUGCUGGUAGAUCCUUUGAAUAGAUAGCCUUGAGUGUGUCCUUGUUGCCCCAGUAGGCCUUGUCAAAGUCCCCAUAUUGCAGGGGAUAUACAU